GAGGGUAUAGCUCAAGUGGCAGAGCACAUGCUUAGCAUGCACAAGGAUCUGGGUUCAAUCCCCAGUACCUCCU
rnacentral:tRNA from 1 species